UACGUAGGGGGCAAGCGUUAUCCGGAAUGAUUGGGCGUAAAGCGUCCGCAGGUGGCUAUGUAAGUCUGCUGUUAAAGAGUGAGGCUCAACCUCAUAAGAGCAGUGGAAACUACAUGGCUAGAGUGCGUUCGGGGCAGAGGGAAUUCCUGGUGUAGCGGUGAAAUGCGUAGAGAUCAGGAAGAACACCGGUGGCGAAAGCGCUCUGCUAGGCCGCAACUGACACUCAUGGACGAAAGCUAGGGGAGCGAAUGGG
rnacentral:rRNA from 1 species